GGGCAGAUAGCUCAAUUGGUAGAGCACGGCACUGAAAAUGCCGGGGUUGCCAGUUCAAGUCUGGCUCUGCCCA
rnacentral:tRNA from 1 species